rnacentral:rRNA from 1 species
AUUGAACGCUAGCGGGAUGCUUUACACAUGCAAGUCGAACGGCAGCGCGGACUUCGGUCUGGCGGCGAGUGGCGAACGGGUGAGUAAUGUAUCGGAACGUGCCCAGUAGCGGGGGAUAACUACGCGAAAGCGUAGCUAAUACCGCAUACGCCCUACGGGGGAAAGCAGGGGAUCGUAAGACCUUGCACUAUUGGAGCGGCCGAUAUCGGAUUAGCUAGUUGGUGAGGUAACGGCUCACCAAGGCGACGAUCCGUAGCUGGUUUGAGAGGACGACCAGCCACACUGGGACUGAGACACGGCCCAGACUCCUACGGGAGGCAGCAGUGGGGAAUUUUGGACAAUGGGGGCAACCCUGAUCCAGCCAUCCCGCGUGUGCGAUGAAGGCCUUCGGGUUGUAAAGCACUUUUGGCAGGAAAGAAACGUCGCGGGCUAAUACCCCGUGGAACUGACGGUACCUGCAGGAUAAGCACCGGCUAACUACGUG